rnacentral:rRNA from 1 species
GCAUAUCAAUAAGCGGAGGAAAAGAAACCAACAGGGAUUGCCCUAGUAACGGCGAGUGAAGCGGCAACAGCUCAAAUUUGAAAUCUGGCUUUCGGGUCCGAGUUGUAAUUUGUAGAGGAUGCUUCUGGCGCGGCGCCUUCCGAGUUCCCUGGAACGGGACGCCUUAGAGGGUGAGAGCCCCGUACGGUCGGACGCCUAGCCUCUGUGAAGCUCCUUCGACGAGUCGAGUAGUUUGGGAAUGCUGCUCUAAAUGGGAGGUAAAUUUCUUCUAAAGCUAAAUACCGGCCAGAGACCGAUAGCGCACAAGUAGAGUGAUCGAAAGAUGAAAAGCACUUUGAAAAGAGGGUUAAACAGUACGUGAAAUUGUUGAAAGGGAAGCGUUUGCGACCAGACUUUUUCCUGGCGGAUCAUCCGGCGUUCUCGCCGGUGCACUUCGCCAGGUCAAGGCCAGCAUCGGUUUCCGGAGGGGGACAAAAGCUUUGGGAACGUGGCUCCCUCGGGAGUGUUAUAGCCCUUCGCAUAAUGCCCUUCUGGGGACCGAGGUUCGCGCAUCUGCAAGGAUGCUGGCGUAAUGGUCGUCAACGACCCGUCUUGAAACACGGACCAAGGAGUCGAACAUUUGUGCGAGUGUUAGGGUGUCAAACCCCUGCGCGUAAUGAAAGUGAACGGAGGUGAGAGCCCUCACGGGUGCAUCAUCGACCGAUCCUGAUGUUUUCGGAUGGAUUUGAGUAAGAGCAUAACUGUUCGGACCCGAAAGAUGGUGAACUAUGCGUGGAUAGGGUGAAGCCAGAGGAAACUCUGGUGGAGGCUCGCAGCGGUUCUGACGUGCAAAUCGAUCGUCAAAUCUGCGCAUGGGGGCGAAAGACUAUCGA